rnacentral:rRNA from 1 species
UACGUAGGGGGCCAGCGUUUGUCCGGAAUUAUUGGGCGUAAAGAGCUCGUAGGCGGUUUGUCGCGUCUGCUGUGAAAACUGGAGGCUCAACCUCCAGCCUGCAGUGGGUACGGGCAGACUAGAGUGCGGUAGGGGAGAUUGGAAUUCCUGGUGUAGCGGUGGAAUGCGCAGAUAUCAGGAGGAACACCGAUGCGAAGGCAGAUCUCUGGGCCGUAACUGACGCUGAGGAGCGAAAGCUGGGGGAGCGAACAGG